rnacentral:rRNA from 1 species
GCAGCUAACGCAUUAAGUAUCCCGCCUGGGGAGUACGAUCGCAAGGUUGAAACUCAAAGGAAUUGACGGGGGCCCGCACAAGCGGUGGAGCAUGUGGAUUAAUUCGAUGCAACGCGAAGAACCUUACCUGGGCUUGAACCGUAGUUGACCGUUAUAGAGAUAUAAUCUUUCAGUUUACUGAACAACUAUAGAGGUGCUGCAUGGCUGUCGUCAGCUCGUGUCGUGAGAUGUUGGGUUAAGUCCCGCAACGAGCGCAACCCUUAUCUUUAGUUGCCAGCGCGUAAUGGCGGGGACUCUAGAGAGACUGCCUGUGUUAAACAGGAGGAAGGUGGGGAUGACGUCAAGUCCUCAUGGCCCUUAUGUCCAGGGCUUCACACGUGCUACAAUGGAUUGGACAAAGUGUUGCUAUACCGCGAGGUAAUGCGAAUCACUAAACCAGUUCUUAGUUCGGAUUGGAGUCUGCAACUCGACUCCAUGAAGCCGGAAUCGCUAGCAAUCGUGGAUCAGCAUGCCACGGUGAAUACGUUCCCGGGCCUUGUACACACCGCCCGUCACACCAUGGAAGCCGAUAGUGCUCGAAGCAACUGGUCUAACCUUCGGGAGGAAGGUUGCUAAAGCAAGAUUGGUAACUGGGGUGAAGUCGUAACAAGGUA